ACGGAGGGUGCAAGCGUUAUCCGGAUUCACUGGGUUUAAAGGGUGCGUAGGCGGGCAGGUAAGUCAGUGGUGAAACCUUUGGGCUUAACCCGAAAACUGCCAUUGAUACUAUCUGUCUUGAAUAUUGUGGAGGUGAGCGGAAUAUGUCAUGUAGCGGUGAAAUGCUUAGAUAUGACAUAGAACACCCAUUGCGAAGGCAGCUCACUACGCAUAUAUUGACGCUGAGGCACGAAAGCGUGGGGAUCAAACAGGAUUAGAUACCCUGGUAGUCCACGCCCUAAACGAUGAUUACUCGACAUACGCGAUACACAGUGUGUGUCUGAGCGAAAGCAUUAAGUAAUCCACCUGGGAAGUACGAUCGCAAGAUUG
rnacentral:rRNA from 1 species